CUGCUCUCUUAGUCAGUCAAUUGUCAAUUGACAAGAAUAUAUUACACUAUUAAUUACUAUGUGUCUUCAGCAGGAUGAUUUCUGAUUUCCUCCCUGGGAAGGCCAUGGACAUAGAUAGACAUAGAACGGUCUCCUGGGAGCCAACAUUCAAGGAGAUUUUCUGCCUAGGAGCCCUGAGUCCCAAACUCUGCUCUCUGGAAGCUUCUUACCCAUGACUCCAAAACACCUACAUGAGUUUUCAAUUCACUGACCACUCAAUGAGUGUUUGCUGAGACCUACUGGGCCCUGUUCUCCUCUAGAAGUCUCAUGAGGUCUGGGGGAAGCCAUAAGGAGCAAAAUUGUUCAUGAAAGUAGCUGGUGGGGGGCGGGGGGAGACUGACAAAGGUGCAUAUGAGGAAAUCUCCUCAUGGAGAUAUGUAAAGUUCUACUUCUGGGUUUAAGGAAUCAGCUUCACAAGAGGAAAGGAGCAUAGCUUAAUUAGAAUUUCUGCAAAAAAGGUCUAAGUGUUUAGGUAGACUGCAGGCCCAAUAUGAGUCAAAAUUAUGACAUUAUGACAAAAACUAAUUUAAUUUUAGGCUUCACCAGAAGACUAUAACGUCCAGAAUGUGAAAAGCGAGAGUUUACAUCUUAAGAAGGGCACUGACAAACAGAAGGUUGUCUACAAGAGGCUGCUCAGCAGAAGGGGAAGAAGAUGAUUUUUUUUGGAGGCAAUCAGGGUUAAGUGACUUGCCCAGGGGUCACACAGCUAGUACAUGUUAAGUGUCUGAGGCUGUAUUUGAACUCAGGUCCUCCUGACUCCAAGGCUAGAGCUCUAUUCACUGUGCCACUUAGCUGCCCCUAGAAGAAGAUGAUUAAUCAGUAUACUGGAGACCAUUCCAUUAAAGGAUGAGUUAAAAAAAAUAGGAAUAACAAUUCUGGAGAAGAUAAGACUCAGGUAGACAUGAAAGCUGUCUUUGAGAGGCUGUCAUAGGGAAGAGAAAUUGGAAUUGUUUUCCUUGGUCCAA
rnacentral:lncRNA from 1 species